AUGUGUGAGACGCCACAACCCCCAAAACCAGUUGAUGAGAUUGUUGAUUUGACAACACCUGAAGUUCAAAUGUCAACUGGGUGGAAUCACAUGCAAACUUGCUACUCACCAUGCAAAAAUAAUAACGAGUACACAUCCGAGACUCCCCCACUCAUAAUGAAGAAGGACUACUCCAUGGUUCCAAUAAUAGGAAAAAGGUUAUUUGCAGAGGAGGAAAGCUGUCAACAAGAAUCCAGUGGCAGCAAAAGGAAUCCAUCAGGACAACUCAAAAUUCAUGGAGAAAACAUGUUUAGGCAAGAGCGCAGCACAUUGGUCAACAUAACUGAUGAUUUUUACAACACAAAUCUCUCGUUAGGAAGGCCAAGCAGUUUCCGUGGAAAAGAAAAUGCACCACCAAAGAGGAUUGUCCAACCAAGCAGGUACCGUAGCUCACCGUACGACUGCAGCGAAAGGGGCCCAAUAAUGCCACACGAGAUAAAGAUGUAUGAGAACAUAACAUCCCUGGCCAAUGUUGAAGGAUCCAAACCUGCAGUUUUGAUUGACAAAACCAUUGCCACAUUUGGACAGUUGGGUAACUCGAUGAAAAUAGGUGGCCGGGUCCAGGCCUAUGUCAUAAAUGUGUACUGUAGGCACCUAUUUAAUGAAAAUCAUCCUAGGAACUCACUCAAGCACUAUUUCUUCCACACUGCAUCUGAAUAUUUCCUGGGCAAAUGGAAAAAUGAUGAGGCAAGAAUUUGGUGGAGGAAGAAACUGAUUACGAGUUUCAUUGGAGCUGGAAAAGCACAUAAUCUUUCGAUGUCAGACAAGUUGUACUUUCCAACACUACAAGAGGAACAUUACUUUCUGUUCGUCGUCGACAUCAAGGGUUGCACAUUUUAUUUUCUAGAUUAUUUCUAUGAUGAGAAGAGAUCAUAUCAUAUGAACAUAAAAAAGAAGAUUAUCUCAAGCUUUAUAUGCACUUGGUACGAAGCUCGGCUCCAGCCAAUGGAUUUCAAUGCAUUCCCUGUUGUUUACCCUAAAGUCCCUCAACAAGAUAACGAUAUUGAUUGUGGCAUUUUCACUAUGAAACUAAUGGAUGGUGCCCAAAGAAUCCAACCCCUAUAG
rnacentral:rRNA from 1 species